rnacentral:rRNA from 1 species
GGGUUAGUAAGUUGGUCAUGCCUUCGGUAUGUACUGGCUUUACUGAUUCCUCCUUCUUGACGAACCGUGAUGUCAUUAAUUUGGUGUUGCGGGAAAUCAGGACUGUUACUUUGAAAAAAUUUUAAGAGUGUUUAAAGCAGGCUAACGCUUGAAUACAUUAGCAUGGAAUAAUGAAAUAGGACGUUAAUCCUAUUUUGUUGGUUUCUAGGAUCGACGUAAUGA